rnacentral:rRNA from 1 species
GAUGAACGCUAGCGGGAGGCUUAAUACAUGCAAGUCGAGGGGUAACAUGGGUUUUCGGACCUGAUGACGACCGGCGCACGGGUGAGUAACGCGUACACAACCUACCUUUAAGAGGAGGAUAGCCUUUGGAAACGAAGAUUAAUACUCCAUGUGAUUAACUUAUAGAAUGAUUGGUUAAUUAAAGGAUUCGUCUGCUUAAAGAUGGGUGUGCGUCCCAUUAGAUAGUUGGUGAGGUAAUGGCUCACCAAGUCAACGAUGGGUAGGGGGCGUGAGAGCGUGACCCCCCACACGGGUACUGAGACACGGACCCGACUCCUACGGGAGGCAGCAGUAAGGAAUAUUGGACAAUGGGCGCAAGCCUGAUCCAGCCAUCCCGCGUGGAGGAUGACGGCCCUCUGGGUUGUAAACUCCUUUUGUUAGGGAAGAAUCCCCUGGAUUUAUCUGGGGUUGACGGUACCUAAAGAAUAAGCACCGGCUAACUCCG